CACCAAGUUUGUGCUUUGUGUGCAGAGUCCCAAAAUGGCAGGGGUCAACAAACGUCUCUUCUAUGGAGUAAACAUCCUUUUGACAAUGGUGGCUGGCUUGAUAGCUGCAUUCAUUAUUCUGACGCAUGUCUACACCCGACCUAACAAUCAGGACCAGAACCGUAUCUGGGAUUUCGUAGAGGCUCCACUCUUGCUCAGGGUGACAGGCAUCUGUGUGGUUGCUACUCUUGGUAUCUAUGGUGCCAGCAAAGACAAGAAGUGGCCCCUGAUAGCGUAUAUUACAGCCAAUGUGAUUGGUGUGAUCAUGUUUCUGAUUCAAGGGACGCUGUUUGUCAAGGCAAAAACACUGGUGAGCUCACACUCGAGGCCUGGCACGCUGUCUAGCCCUCUCCUCCAGGGAACUCUGGCUGUAGAUUGUAUAUUAGCAAUCAAUUUUGUACCUGCCGCUUUGGGGUUCAUCGGGAUUAUCCUGGCAGCCAUGAUCAUGCAUCAGCUCCACAGCCGGCAGCCUGCCAUGACAGAUGUUGAGGGUAAACCCCCAGGAUACUCACAGAUGUGCCCAAUGAGCAGCAAGUCAGCAGAGAGCUGGACAUACAGGAUUCUCCCAAAUCACCACACAGCUAAUGACACAUAUUAAAGAAAUACACAUGACUAACAAUUAAGUCAAAAUGUCUGUGAUGCAUCUGAAAAAUAUUUGCCUCUCUCUCUCACACAACAAACACACACACACACACAUAAUGGCACAUAUUAAAGAAAUUCAUAUGAAUAAGAAUACGCCUGUGUGAGAUUUAUUUGAACAAGUCUCGAUCUCUCUUCUCUCACUCUCUUUCUUUCUCAAACAAGCACACACACA
ensembl:lncRNA